UGAAAGAUAUUACUGAAAGUGUCAAAAGACUGGUCUGUGCACUAGAUCACCUCCAAUCUGGGAACAUUUUCCCUUGUGAUGCCUUUGCUGUGGUGGCAGCAGCCUCUUUCAGAAGGACAGAACAUACAAGUCAUAAUUUACACUACAGCAGCAAGGUUUACCAGACUAUCUACUAAAUGAGGGGCCUGAAUACCCUAAAAUGAAGGCAGCAUAAUACAGAAUAUUGAUGGCUAAGAUUUCUGGGAUCUUAGGGCAUUGGGCUUAAAGUAUGCUAGCAGGCAUACUUUAAGGGAUAUUUUGGUAGAGUUAAACUUACCUGAAUGAAUUCUUUCUUCCUGACAUGGAAGAGCUUGUGUCUGAAGACUAUAGAAAAUGUGCACACUCUUCUGAAAAUGGUCUUCUUAAAAGUGCAGUAACAAAAAUACCUUCUUUCCCCUAAUGAUUUUGAGAGAAGAGUGUAUUUUCCACACUUCUUAAUUUUCCUUGGUGCUCCUCUCUUUCAUCAUCUGCUCAACUGUGACCUUCUUUCUGGUUUGGAAGUGCUACAAGAUCUUUCCUUCAGACCUCAUCUGCCUCAUUUUAAGUGUUUGUUGAAGUGGUUCUUGCAAUUCUUGGCAAGAGAUCACUCGCUGACCAGUGACUUGAUAGAUUUGUGACACCCAUCUCUUGCUAUUUCAUUAUGUGUUCCAACCUUUUCAUAUGAGAGUGGAAUCCCAGUUAGGAAGUAUGGACUGCAUUUAUGAGUGCUCUUUUGCAGCUAAUCCACGUUCGAUGAUUGAUGAGCUAUGUAUUUUAGUUUCACUUGUCCUGUCUUAUAUCUCUAGUUAUUUUCUCUCACGCUCCCACCUUUGCUUUUUAUGUGCAUACCAAGAAACAGAUCCAGGUGGUCUAACAGUUAGCUGCUGCUGAAAGAGGGCAGAGAUAAUGCCUUUCCCCAGCCCUGACUGUAUUGACAUUCCUACUGCUUACCUCUUAUGUCCCUCAGUCUUUGUAUGUCAAAUAAUACGUCACAAACCAAUUAUUUUCAUGUUACUUGGAUCUAGAGUUCAUCUCUUAGAUUAUCUCAUUAUAAGAAAUGAGGAAUUGGAGAGAAGUUUUCACAUGUUUUGGGCUCCCUAACAUAGGCAAUAUAGAUCCACUAACUGGUUUUAUUCAUCACAGAAUGGAAGAGGCUGAAAGGCCCCUCUGAAGAUCAUCUAGUCGACCUCCCAGCUGCAGAGAGGGUCAGCUUGAGCAGUCGGGAGUUUUGAAUAUCUCCAAGGAUGAAGACAAUGGGCAACCCAUGCCAGUGUUUGACCACCCUCACAGUAAAAAAAUGGGGGGGUUUAGUGUCUUAAAAAUAAGUGUUUUCUGCAGGUUAGAGUACUGUAAGUUGAUCCAAGUUUUUCUUUAAAAUGGUCCGGGAGCUGUAGCUCCCAGAUAUCCAUCCAAUGGCAUCCAUCUAUUGAGUUAAGGGGAGGUAUUGCAACUGAUAGCACUCACCUUCAUCCAGUACUGUGGCUAAUUACUCCUCAUCCUAGAUCCAGAGGUUACGUCUGAACGAGGAAUUGGAAAGCAUCAACAUAGUUCAGAAAUCCCAUUUCUGUAAAGCUUUCCAAAUCCUUUUGUUACUAUAUCCAGAACAGAAAUAAUUGAUGUAUUUAAUUAUUAUGACUUCUAUCUUUUAUCAUAAUAUUUUGGAUAUCUUUAUUUUUUUGUUUUGCAGUAUUAUUUUCUGUGAGAAUAGCUGAUUCUUUUUGCUAAAUGUAGUUUUAAUGUUUAUGUAGCUAGCUUAAUACCCAUGGUUUCCACAAUCUGUGUUUUGAUAGCACUAUGACAGUGCAGGCUAUGUCUGUGCCAGUUAACAAAUCCUAUAGUGUUCUGUGACUGAAAACAGACUGAGACAUGCCUAACCUGUUGUGCUGCAUUCAUUCGGGUGACCUGCCCCAAAAGUGAUUUGACACAUCAGUAAAGAAGAAAUACUGAAAGCAACUGGAUCCAGUGUUCGUGGUGUCUCUGCCCACCCAGACAGUGCCUCUGAACAAAAUACUUUUCUACAAAAAAAGAAUCAUUGAGUAGCAUAAUAAUUGUAUGGUAUGAAUGCAUAAAUUAGAUUACUUUAAGAGAAGAAAGCAUUUAAUGCCUCCUAAUAGACAGUACAGAGAGACAUCAUGGAUGAGAGAAAGUUUCUGCUCUGUUUGAAGUUGUUGUUAGGGAGAGAGGUCAGCCAUCAACACAAGAAAAAGGACCUCUAUGACAAAGAAGGCAAAACCUCUGAGAUGGGUAUCUCUGGAGGGAGAUGUUGGAACUGUCCGAGAAGCUGCCAACUGCUGUUGUAUCUGUUAACCAGUACCCUCAGGCUCAGAAGACUGCUUGGAAUAAUUAAAGUUGUAGCAUCUGCACAAUAGUUAUACUUAAAAUUGCUGUGCCUUGGAGUCACCUCCCUUUAUUGAUCUUCAGACUGGUGCAAAAUGAAAUUGCAAAUACAAGACAUUCAGGCAAAAAUUCCAUUAAUGGCAGUAAAGAGUAUAGGGUACUACAGGGCUUCUUGUGGAAGGGCAGGACUACAAUAUUUUUCCAAUCUCACAGGAAACUGCAGCAACUAGAUGGAUGGAGGCAAUGGCCCUGUUUGCAAGGGAACUUCACUCAGUCCUGGAAAUCCAGGUGUUUGACAGCUCCAGAUUAACAGUAAUGAAAAUAGUAAGAGACUUGUAGUAACUGGUUUGUACAGUAUGUCAGCACCAAAGCACCAAGGAGCUGUUACUUGAAUUCAGAUGCAAGUUCUGCAGGAAAAAAUGUCUGCCUGAUCUGAUAACUGAGAGUGACAACACAAUGGGCUAUAUUGAAAGGGGCAAUAAAGAUGCUUUA